rnacentral:rRNA from 1 species
GCUGGCCGGCGUGCUUCAUACAUGCAAGUCGAACGAGAAGUCACCUUCGGGUGAUGGAAAGUGGCGACGGGUGAGUAAUGUGUAGAGAAUCUGCCCUUAAGAGUGGGACAACAGAGGGAAACUUCUGCUAAUACCGCAUAUGCGCGUACCUGAAAUGGUAUUCGUGAAAAACUCCGGUGCUUUAAGGAUGAGUCUGCAUCUGAUUAGCUAGCUGGGGGUGUAAUGGACCACCAAGGCGACGAUCAGUAGCUGGUUUGAGAGGGAUGAUCAGCCACAAUGGGACUGAGACACGGCCCAUACUCCUACGGGAGGCAGCAGUAGGGAAUUUUGCGCAAUGGGGGAAACCCUGAACCGCAGCAACGCCGCGUGAUUGAAUAAGCCCUUCGGGGUGUAAAGAUCUGUCAGUGGGGACGAAACUUGACGGUACCCACAGAGGAAGCAUCGGCUAACUCCGUGCCAGCCGCCGC